CUCUGGGUGUAUAUAUUGUGUGGAAGUGUAGGAGGGAGGUGGCCAGGCAGUGACGUCAGUGUUGCAGCAGACACCGAGGGGGAGAGUCACGCUGCUCGCUCUCUCUUCACUAACUUUAGUGCCACGGUGUCUGGUGUGACGACCUAGAACAAGUGGUUAGCACGAGAGGAUCUAACGACUGAAUUAACAAGUGAACAACUUGGAAGGAGGAUCACACUCCACCGCAAGAGGAUUCAACGCCCUAACAAAAACAGACUCAACCACUUGAUGAAUCAAGGCCUGAUGAACCUGGCUGUUACUGCUGGCCGCGCGCAGUCCAGCAUGCGAUUCACAGCCCGGGACUGACUUGAGGAACCUGUCAAGUUACCUCAUGACUGAAGGAUGUCGAAAAGUCUUUGACCCCUCACAUUUAUUGAAUUUUAUCUUAGAACAAGCUUAUCACCAGCUUUUCAUUAUACCCCAAUAUUAUACCCCAGUGUUACAAAUAAGUAUUAUACAUCAGCUUAACACCUUAGUAUUAAAUAUCAAUAUUAUACACUAGUAUCAUACACCGGUAUUAUACACAAGCAUUAAUCACAGUUAUAAUACACCAGCGGCGCUUUAUGACCCUUGUAGGCUCAGCGCUUCUUUUUGAUUAUAAUAUACGCCAGUAUUUUAUGACAGUAUUAUACCUUAGUUUUGCCCUCAGGAUGCAACCCAUACCGGUCGCCUAACACCCAGGUACCUAUUUACUGCUAGGUGAACAGGACACCAGGUGUCUUAAGGAAAUACGUCCUAAUGUUUUCACCCGUACCAGGAAUCGAACCACGGACCUUAAUGUGCGAAUAGAGUGCGCUAGUAAUCGAGCUACAGGACACCUCGUAAGCAGAAACAUCAGAUUUUAAUCAAAACUUUCAAAGGGCGCAAAAACAAAAAUGGCUAUAAUUAAAUAUUUGAAAUGAGUACUAUA